UACGAAGGGGGCUAGCGUUGCUCGGAAUUACUGGGCGUAAAGGGCGCGUAGGCGGCACUGUUAGUCAGGCGUGAAAGUCCUGGGCUCAACCUGGGAACUGCGCUUGAUACGGCAGAGCUAGAGGAUGGAAGAGGCUCGCGGAAUUCCCUGUGUAGAGGUGAAAUUCGUAGAUAUUGGGAAGAACACCGGUGGCGAAGGCGGCGAGCUGGUCCAUUACUGACGCUGAGGCGCGACAGCGUGGGGAGCAAACAGG
rnacentral:rRNA from 1 species